UGUAUUGGGUUGGUGCAAAAGUGAUUGUGGUUUUUGCCAUUCAAAAGUAAUGGCAAAAGUUGUAAUUGUUUUUGCACCAAUCUAAUAAAU
ensembl:miRNA